rnacentral:rRNA from 1 species
CGGCUCACCAAGGGGACGAUGCGUAGCCGACCUGAGAGGGUGAUCGGCCACACUGGGAGUGAGACACGGCCCAGACUCCUACGGGAGGCAGCAGUAGGGAAUCUUCCNCAAUGGACGAAAGUCUGACGGAGCAACGCCGCGUGAGUGAUGAAGGUUUUCGGAUCGUAAAGCUCUGUUGUUAGGGAAGAACAAGUGCAAGAGUAACUGCUUGCACCUUGACGGUACCUAACCAGAAAGCCACGGCUAACUACGUGCCAGCAGCCGCGGUAAUACGUAGGUGGCAAGCGUUGUCCGGAAUUAUUGGGCGUAAAGGGCUCGCAGGCGGUUUCUUAAGUCUGAUGUGAAAGCCCCCGGCUCAACCGGGGAGGGUCAUUGGAAACUGGGAAACUUGAGUGCAGAAGAGGAGAGUGGAAUUCCACGUGUAGCGGUGAAAUGCGUAGAGAUGUGGAGGAACACCAGUGGCGAAGGCGACUCUCUGGUCUGUAACUGACGCUGAGGAGCGAAAGCGUGGGGAGCGAACAGGAUUAGAUACCCUGGUAGUCCACGCCGUAAACGAUGAGUGCUAAGUGUUAGGGGGUUUCCGCCCCUUAGUGCUGCAGCUAACGCAUUAAGCACUCCGCCUGGGGAGUACGGUCGCAAGACUGAAACUCAAAGGAAUUGACGGGGGCCCGCACAAGCGGUGGAGCAUGUGGUUUAAUUCGAAGCAACGCGAAGAACCUUACCAGGUCUUGACAUCCUCUGACAACCCUANANAUAGGGCUUUCCCUUCGGGGACAGAGUGACAGGUGGUGCAUGGUUGUCGUCAGCUCGUGUCGUGAGAUGUUGGGUUAAGUCCCGCAACGAGCGCAACCCUUGAUCUUAGUUGCCAGCAUUNAGUUGGGCACUCUAAGGUGACUGCCGGUGACAAACCGGAGGAAGGUGGGGAUGACGUCAAAUCAUCAUGCCCCUUAUGACCUGGGCUACACACGUGCUACAAUGGACANAACAAAGGGCUGCGAGACCGCCAGGUUUANCCAAUCCCACAAAUCUGUUCUCAGUUCGGAUCGCANUCUGCAACUCGACUGCGUGAA